CGGAAGGAUCAUUAACGAGAGGGGGGGCCUUGAGCCCCCAGGGGCUUGGCCCCCGUACCUUUCCACCCUGUGUUUACCUUCCACUGUUGCUUUGGCGGGCCCCGGGGCUGCUCCCGGCGUAGGUCCCCUAACGGGGUCCCGCGAAUGCCCGUCAGAGGCCCAUUCAAAUUCUGUAUAAUAGUGAUAUCUGAGCCUAAACAAAUAAUCAAAACUUUCAACAACGGAUCUCUUGGUUCUGGCAUCGAUGAAGAACGCAGCGAAAUGCGAUAAGUAAUGUGAAUUGCAGAAUUCAGUGAAUCAUCGAAUCUUUGAACGCACAUUGCGCCCUUCGGAAUUCCGGAGGGCAUGCCUGUUCGAGCGUCAUUAAACCCCUCAAGCUUAGCUUGGUAUUGGGCGUUCGCCCCCCUGACUCCAGGGGACGGCGUGCCCGAAAUCUAGUGGCGGUCCAGGGAGACUUCAAGCGCAGUAAAACCUUUCCGCUUUCGAAGCUUUUCGACCUGUGGCUCGGCCAACGGAGACCCCUUCUAUUUUCAAGAAUUGACCUCGGAUCAGGUAGGGAUACCCGCUGAACUUAAGCAUAU
rnacentral:rRNA from 1 species